rnacentral:tRNA from 1 species
GGAGUUGUAGCUCAGCGGUAAAGCACUCACCUAGCAUGUGUGAGGACCUGGGUUCAAUCCUCAGCACCA